rnacentral:rRNA from 1 species
UGAAGAGUUUGAUCAUGGCUCAGAUUGAACGCUGGCGGCAGGCCUAACACAUGCAAGUCGAACGGUAACAGGAAGCAGCUUGCUGCUUUGCUGACGAGUGGCGGACGGGUGAGUAAUGUCUGGGAAACUGCCUGAUGGAGGGGGAUAACUACUGGAAACGGUGGCUAAUACCGCAUAACGUCGCAAGACCAAAGAGGGGGACCUUCGGGCCUCUUGCCAUCAGAUGUGCCCAGAUGGGAUUAGCUUGUUGGUGAGGUAACGGCUCACCAAGGCGACGAUCCCUAGCUGGUCUGAGAGGAUGACCAGCCACACUGGAACUGAGACACGGUCCAGACUCCUACGGGAGGCAGCAGUGGGGAAUAUUGCACAAUGGGCGCAAGCCUGAUGCAGCCAUGCCGCGUGUAUGAAGAAGGCCUUCGGGUUGUAAAGUACUUUCAGCGGGGAGGAAGGUGUUGUGGUUAAUAACCGCAGCAAUUGACGUUACCCGCAGAAGAAGCACCGGCUAACUCCGUGCCAGCAGCCGCGGUAAUACGGAGGGUGCAAGCGUUAAUCGGAAUUACUGGGCGUAAAGCGCACGCAGGCGGUCUGUCAAGUCGGAUGUGAAAUCCCCGGGCUCAACCUGGGAACUGCAUUCGAAACUGGCAGGCUUGAGUCUUGUAGAGGGGGGUAGAAUUCCAGGUGUAGCGGUGAAAUGCGUA